UAAUACAGAGGUCCCAAGCGUUGUUCGGAUUUACUGGGCGUAAAGGGUGCGUAGGCGGCUAGAAAAGUUUGGUGUGAAAUCUUCGGGCUUAACCCGGAAACUGCACUGAAAACUAUCUGGCUAGAGGAUCGGAGAGGAGAUCGGAAUUCUCGGUGUAGCAGUGAAAUGCGUAGAUAUCGAGAGGAACACCAGUUCCGAAGGCGGAUCUCUGGACGGUUUCUGACGCUGAGGCACGAAAGCUGGAGUAGCGAAGAGGAUUAGAUACCCUCGUAGUCCCAGCCGUAAACGGUGCACACUUGCUGUGGGCGGAUUCGACCCCGUCCGUGGCGAAGCUAACGCGAUAAGUGUGCCGCCUGGGGAGUACGGUCGCAAGAUUA
rnacentral:rRNA from 1 species